GUCUGAGUACUAUACAAUAGUUAAAACUUUCAACAACGGAUCUCUUGGUUCUGGCAUCGAUGAAGAACGCAGCGAAAUGCGAUAAGUAAUGUGAAUUGCAGAAUUCAGUGAAUCAUCGAAUCUUUGAACGCACAUUGCGCCCUCUGGUAUUCCGGGGGGCAUGCCUGUUCGAGCGUCAUUACAACCCUCACGCCCUGCGUGGUGUUGGGC
rnacentral:rRNA from 1 species